UCUGCCAAUGUGGCUUUGGGGAAGAUGCUUUUGGGAGAACUGAACACUACCAGACCCUGCUUUGGGUCCUGGUACUGGUGGGCAAUUCUCCUUUUUCAGGCUGAAAUCUCUCUGUGUUCAGUUUCAUUCUGUAGGAGUUCGGGGAAGAGGAGACAAGAAAUGCAGGGAUGUCUUUGGAAGGGCACCUUCUUUGCUUUGUUGCUGGGGAGAUCAGACAUCCAAAAAGUUGGCUGCACACAUCUACCCAUGACAUCCAGGGAAAUGCUCACUUUGAAGAUGGGAGAGUCGCCACCAUCAUCCUCAGGAUCAUCAUCUUCAUCAUCAACUGUGAGACUGUGAACCUUCUUCACAGAAGCCAACUCCAACACCAGCCUCAGGGACACCCAUGGCAGCAAAAGGAGAAGCCUGUGAAUUCUUCCCUCUUGAAAUGACUCCCUUUCUCCUCCCUGCUGCUCUGCCAUCCCAGAUGGAGCCUGGCACCCUGGAGCAGCCACCCUUCAUCCCUGCAGAGCAGCCCCUGCUAAAGCCUUCGAGGUGUGAGCUCAGUGGAACAUUUAUACAUUUAAUUCUUUUAAUUUAUCUGUAUAUUGAAUUAAAUUUUGAGACAAAAAGUUCUCAAGAGCGGUUGCUGCGAGAAGCUAGAAAGCUCCAUGUGGGAACAGAGCAUAUUCCUGGGGUUUUGGCAUUCUGCUUUUGUGUCUAUUAAUAAUCCCCCGGAGUGAGUCAUAUGGAGCUGCAUUUAUUCACUGACUCGGAGAGAGCUGCUACCCAAAAUAGCAGCUCUGUAAUUUUUUAUGAUGCUGUAAUGCCAGUGCAGUGAAGAUUGACAUCAUUUGAGGGAGAUGCUCCAGCCUGGCAGCCAGAGAACCCGUGUCCAGCCCCACAAGGAACGUGGAGAGCCACGUGCUCCAUUACAUAAAAGAGCCAGAGAGCCAGCACGGGGUGGAGAUGCCUCUUCUGUCCUCACCUGAGCCUCUUUUCCCCAGAUUUCUUCCCCUUUUUAGGCCUUUUUAAGCCUUUUUUGCUCAUUUUCUUCAAUCAUGAGGAGCACUGGGCCAGAGGAUGAAGAGGAAAUGGCUUUUGCUGCAGAGAGGAGCCUCAAGCACGUCUCAAACCAUCAACCUGCCUGCUAGGAGGUCCAUAGGGAAAUCUUGAAAUGCAUCAAAUUCAGCAUCACCAGCUCAUCCUUUUCCUCACCCACGUUGCUGCUCCGUGUCCCUCCCUGAACCCCCGAGUGUCCCCUGUGCCCAAAAUCUGCCAGCUCCUCCCCAGCCCCGUGUUCCUGACUGAUGGCAACCCCAGGCAAAGGGCAGAGAAACGCUGGGGCAGGGUUUGGGCUGGGCUUUGUAAGGAUCAGUCUGCUUUUCUGGAUUGCUUCUCAUUCUCUGCCCUGCACUGCUGCCAUCAGGUCUGUCCUGGAGUGGCAGCCAGUGGGGCAUCCAAGACAUCCCAGGGUGGCCCCACUGCUCCCCAAAAACACCUCUGGGUACCACUCAGGCUUUUUGGCACAAUUCUGGCUAAAAUUCCUCUGCAGGAGCCCCAGCCCAUCACUGUGCUCUCCACCAAAGCAUUCAGAAAGACGAAUUUGCCAGUGCUGGGCAUUAAUAGCCUGGGUGAACUUUUGCAGUGUUUUACAGGCUCCCUUCCAGCUGGAAAUGUUUAUUAACAUUACCUUUGCAUGCAGCACUUGGGGAGAAAAGGGAACUGCUGCCACAGCAGCCUUGAGGCAGUGUGACUGAUGGGAUGAGCAGCAGCUGUGGCUCAGGUUUGGUCAGAGCAGCUCAAGUGCUUUGGGUGAAGGGUGUCACACCUUUGGGGGACCUGCGUGGAAGAUGGAAUGUGACAGUUGAGCUACAGACCCUCAAUACAACCACUGGCAUAAAUUAAUGAAUAUAGUCUUAAUAGGAGGGGUCAGGACUUGGGGUCCCUUGUUUCUUGAAGGGGGAGAAAGGGACUUUGCUCCAAGAUACUCCAGCCCCUAAGCCCUGCUGUUCCCAGAACACAGAAACAGUAGGCUGAAGGAAUUUAGCACUGCCCUAGCAAGGCUGGCAAUGAUUUCUACUUCACAUCAUGAACACUGCUCAGCACCUGAACAAGGGCUUGAAGUUUUAGGGCUCCUGCAUCUUAAUCCUAAUUUUCUUAAUGCUAACUUCCAGAGAGGAAAAAUUUCCAGGAGUAGAGGUGGUGGAGGAAUGCUCAUAACAGAGGAUGGAUGAGGGAUACACCCCUCAAAGACUCACCUCAUCAGGCCCAAGGGAGACCUGGUUUUUUCAUUCUAAAUAUAACAGAUGCAGCAGUCAAAAUGAACUUUUGAGGGUCUGGAUUCUGGAUUUUAAGCAUAAAACACUAAUGCCCAAGUCAGAGAAGAGAGGUUGAAAUAGUCUCAUUAGAUCUGGUUGCUGAGAGCCUGUCCAGUUUCAUUUCUAGACUGAAAAGUGGUGUUUUGGUUAUUACAAUACCUCU